AAUGAAGUGCCUGAUAAAAGGGCUACCUUGAUAGGGUAAAUUAAGUAGCUAAACCUACCUUCAUUA
rnacentral:tRNA from 1 species